rnacentral:rRNA from 1 species
CAGCUUGCUGCUUCGCUGACGAGUGGCGGACGGGUGAGUAAUGUCUGGGAAACUGCCUGAUGGAGGGGGAUAACUACUGGAAACGGUAGCUAAUACCGCAUAACGUCGCAAGACCAAAGAGGGGGACCUUCGGGCCUCUUGCCAUCGGAUGUGCCCAGAUGGGAUUAGCUAGUAGGUGGGGUAACGGCUCACCUAGGCGACGAUCCCUAGCUGGUCUGAGAGGAUGACCAGCCACACUGGAACUGAGACACGGUCCAGACUCCUACGGGAGGCAGCAGUGGGGAAUAUUGCACAAUGGGCGCAAGCCUGAUGCAGCCAUGCCGCGUGUAUGAAGAAGGCCUUCGGGUUGUAAAGUACUUUCAGCGGGGAGGAAGGCGAUAAGGUUAAUAACCUUGUCGAUUGACGUUACCCGCAGAAGAAGCACCGGCUAACUCCGUGCCAGCAGCCGCGGUAAUACGGAGGGUGCAAGCGUUAAUCGGAAUUACUGGGCGUAAAGCGCACGCAGGCGGUCUGUCAAGUCGGAUGUGAAAUCCCCGGGCUCAACCUGGGAACUGCAUUCGAAACUGGCAGGCUAGAGUCUUGUAGAGGGGGGUGGAAUUCCAGGUGUAGC